GCUCCCAACGCGACCCCAGCUCAGGCGGGACUACCCGCUGAGUU
rnacentral:rRNA from 1 species